rnacentral:rRNA from 1 species
UACAGAGGUCUCAAGCGUUGUUCGGAUUCAUUGGGCGUAAAGGGUGCGUAGGUGGCGCCGUAAGUCGGGUGUGAAAUUUCGGAGCUUAACUCCGAAACUGCAUUCGAUACUGCGGUGCUUGAGGACUGGAGAGGAGACUGGAAUUCAUGGUGUAGCAGUGAAAUGCGUAGAGAUCAUGAGGAAGACCAGUGGCGAAGGCGGGUCUCUGGACAGUUCCCUGACACUGAGGCACGAAGGCCAGGGGAGCAAACGGG